ensembl:lncRNA
AUUUACGUUUUUCCAUUCUUACAACACACACAUGCUUAUAAACUUAGGCACCUGUUUUUCCUGCAGGGCUGAUGGAUUCCCCAUGAUUCCUUGUGCCUUGUCAAAUGUCCCCUGAGAAAUACAAUGCAGUGGAGGAAAGGACUAUGAAGACCCCACAGGGGCCCAGCCCAUCCUGAUGGGAGGGGAUGGGUGAGGAGCCUGCGCUGGAGGAAGAAGGCAAGUCAGUGGGGUCUGCCCUCAGAAGGUGGGGCAGCAGCCAGGCUGCAAGUGGAAGGCCUUUGCUACAGGGUGAGAAAAAGGCUUGUUGGAGCCUUUGUUCCUUCACAGGAGUAUUUGCCUUUGAUGGGCUGUCAAUAGGAAUCAUUAAGUGAUUAUUAAGAAGGGAACCUGAUGAGUCCAGCUCCAACUUGCUAAGUUCAGAGGUCUCCUGGCUUAGUUGUUUUUGCCUCUGCAAAUAAGGAGCCAGGCCCCUUCCCUGGAAGGUUCUUGAAUCAGGGGUUUUGGCCUUUUAGCCCAACAGGAUGGGGCAAUACCUGCGGGUGCCCAUUAACUCUUGGGGUAGCUCUUGGGAGGGCUGGGGUGGGAAAAGGAAGAGGUGGGGGGGGGCAGAGGUGACAGGGAGAGAUGGCGUGAUGGAGAGAGAUGGGAAGAGGGAAUGAGAGAGGAAGGGAGAGACAGCAACAGACAGUGAGCAAAAGGAGAGAGGAAGCCGGGAGAGAGGGAGUGGGGAGAGAGAGAAAGAAAAUGGAAAGAACACUGACCCUCAGGCUAAAUUCUAGAGCCUGAAUCCUGGCCAGCAUCCGCAGCACCAUCUGGGAGCUGAUACCGAUUCUCAGGCUGUCCCGUCCUACUGAGUUAAUUUCUGCAUUUAACAAGAUCCCUAGGUGAUCCUCUGCACGUUCAAGUUUGAGAAGCCCCGGUUUGGUGGUCACCAGGGUAACCCACCCAAAAUGGCCCAACAGGUCUGGAGCUUGAGGCAGGGUCUUCAGGACCCACGAAAACUUCACGGAGAGGCUGGAGCGCAGUGGUGUGAGCGGCCCACACCGAAUUCAAAGCUGGGAGGAAUGUGAGCGGUCUUGCCCUGAGUCACCUGCUGCAGCUGGAAGGAGCCAUCACUGCCCCUUCUGUCUCUGUCUUCUGAGACUUUGCAGCACGCCAGGGCAUCUGCCUGACACCCAGUUCCAGAAAGUCUGGUUUUCUUCCCAAAGCCAGAGACCGUGUGCUUCAUCUAGGAGGUGGCUAGAAUGCCUUGGGAUAGGGAUGGGUGGGUCAAGAGGCUCACAGAAGAAUGGAAGUGAGGGCAGGGUUGCCCCUGUUCACAACUUCCUGCACAACCCCGCUUUCCAUGGGCAACAGCCAGGUGAGUGACCUGCCCUAGGUCCCUGGGAGGGCUGGCCAGGGUGGGGCGAGGUAACUGGCCCCUGGUCUUGCAGCCAGAGCCUAAGGCAUCUGGGGAUGCUGACCACUUGCAGCCCGGAGAGAGCACAGCUGUCCUCUGCUUGGGGGUUUGUGACACAAGGCAACGGGAGUGGCUGAACACGUAACAACAAAGGAGACUGCAGCCAUGGAGUCAGGGUCAGGGCAC